rnacentral:lncRNA from 1 species
GUAUGGUCAGACAGGAGAUCGCUUCCCAAGACAUCAGCUAAAGCCCAGAAAUCUAAAAUGUCAUUAACCAGUUUAGUUUGAAAAAAAAAAUUCAGAAAUUUAGGCUGAUCUAUUUAUAUGAACUGACGGGUGCUACCAAGUUAAUCCUGUAAUUAAAAUUCAUUUCUCAAAGAUGUUACUAUAAUCUUAGAAAUAUUAAAGAUUUAAACCCUAAAGAUUUCUAUGGAAGUGAUUAAAUUUUCUCAAUUAUUUCUCCCCUCUCUCCCAGAGUGAUUAAUUUCACUUUCUGUGUCUCAAUCCUUGAGCCAGAAGGCUUCUGUGGAGGCUCCUGACUCAGGGAAACCUGUUUCCGGGAUCAUCUCGGUUAGACACACAGCUGCCGCCAAGACGUUCCCUUUCCAAGCAUGGGUUUUAAAUUAUGGCCAAUCAAGAGGCCGAGCUGGAAGAACACCUGUCAGGGACCGUUUUUCUACCAGGAGAUGGUCUCUUUCAUCGCAUUUCACUGUAGUUCAGAGAAAGGUUCAUUUGAAAAUGUGGCACCUGCUUCUAGGAUUCAACCUCCUCUGCUGAAACACCAAUUUGGAAUUGAUUUCUGACGUUAUUCAAUAGUGAAACGAGAAACUGCGACAAAGUGUCUAAAAGGGAAGAAAGGACUUUCCCAGACUUGAUUUGCAACUUUCCCUGGUGGAAAAAAAAAAAAUCUAAAAAAUGUAUUUUUCAACUUUUCUGUGUGAAUAUAAUUAAUAAUAGGAAUUCUUUGGAGCAAACUUGUACAACAUUGGAGGGAGAUGGUGAAAACAUUUCAUAAACCCUGGCUGAUUUUCCUGCGUUGAGAUUGGUUACAUUUAUCUGUGAACAAUGCCAAGUAUUAUUGAUACUGACUGGUGCUUGGAGAGACUUUGAACUUGGCUCUAAUGGGGAGCACCCUUAAGUCCGUUAAUCGCAGGUACUUUCUCAUGUCCGCACACUAUAUUGUGUAACUAUCAGAAGACAAACUUCAUUUUGCAAACUGUGAUUUAAUGGUAGAACAGUGUGCAGACCCGAAUAUCAGUUAAUUUUCAAAACAUUUUAUUCUACACCAAUUAGCUCACGUCCUGGAGGGCAGAAUGACAAGAGGUUACUCAUUCGCUAUGUAUUUAAUUAAUUGAAAAAUGCUCAAAUUGCUUUUACAGUUGUUAUUAAAAAGUAGAAUCAGUGUUGCCAGUGCUCAACCAUAAUUGGAACCCCAGGGAAUUAAAUAUUUAGCAUUAGUAAUGUAACAGCACUUAGGACACAAAUUUCUAUUUUCGUAAUGAAAGCUAUACACUGCGAGUGCAAGCAGCAGAAAGGACAGAUGUGACAAGCCGAGUGGCCUGGGAUAUUUCAAUAAGACACCUCAUUGGACAGCAAGUCUUACCACAUUACCCGUUUGUAAGAGACCUGCAAGUUUAAUUCCCAACAGAAACCCGUUACCCAAGUAUUUAGAUUUCUAAUUGCAUCAGGGACGAACAGCCGGGCAAAUGUCUUGCUGUAAGGGGCUGGAAAUGUAGACCGCUUUCUGAAUAAUCCUAUAUAAGUUCAUGCCUUCGUCAAUUUAAAAAUAGCGGGACUGCCCGAGAAUAAAGAUCUUGUUUGUUUUAAGUUUAAUUACAUUUUAGGCAUACAUGUUUUCAGUGCUACAGUGAGAAAACUUGGAUGUGGAGCUCUAAUGAGCUGUAGUGGUAGACGGCUGGAGACCCUGAGGGAUUCACUCCGUAAAUUAACUGGAUAAAAGUACUUGGUUAGGAUAUGGUUGAUGGCUGAGCUGUUCUUAAAACCCAGUUAUAGAGCUGUCUCUCACCGCUGUUUUCAUUCUAAACAGGCCCUGUAGAGACUUAAACAGCCGCCUGUUACAACUGUUCAACUUGUCAAAAUGUAUUGUAUUACUUCACUAAUAAAUAGUAUUAAAGGGUAUUUGACUUCGUUUCUGGUUUUCAGAGGGGAUCAGGUUGAUAAACACAACUGGCUUAGGUUGGCCUUCUUUUAAUUUCUUUAUGUCAUCUAAGUAAUAUGGGAGGCCCACGCUUGGAAUUUGCAAACAUUACUUUCCUGGAGACGUAAAACUUACAAUAUAAUAUGUACAAUGGAAACAAUGAGUGGAGACUAUUUAUUACAGAGUGUUUGUUCUUGAAAGAUGUAUGACUUUGGCGUUCUCAGCUUACGUUCCAAGUCUUGGGAACCUCCUGCUACCCUGCCAUUCUUUGAAGCAUGGCUAAACUAAUUCCUUUGCCCAUCAUUCUAUCUGUUCUUGAAAAACUUGUUGUAAGAUAAAUUAAUUUCACAAUUUUCUUUGUCUAUUGUCCCUGUGUCUGGUUUUUGGUAAUUUAUUUUAAUUGAUCAUGAUCUCUUAUCUAUUCUUAAGCAAUUUUAAAAACAAUAUAUGCUUACUUUUUAAAAUUUUUUUUUAUUUUUUUGGUACUUGGGAUCGAACCCAAGGGCACUUAAUGACUGAGCCACUUCUCCAGCCCUAUUUUGUAUUUUAUUGAGAGACAGGGUCUCACUGAGUUGCUUAGAGCCUCGCUAAGUUGCUGAAGCUGG